rnacentral:rRNA from 1 species
GACGAACGCUGGCGGCGUGCCUAAUACAUGCAAGUAGAACGCACAGUUUAUACCGUAGCUUGCUACACCAUAGACUGUGAGUUGCGAACGGGUGAGUAACGCGUAGGUAACCUGCCUGGUAGCGGGGGAUAACUAUUGGAAACGAUAGCUAAUACCGCAUAAUAUUGAUUAUUGCAUGAUAAUUGAUUGAAAGAUGCUAUUGCAUCACUACCAGAUGGACCUGCGUUGUAUUAGCUAGUAGGUGAGGUAACGGCUCACCUAGGCGACGAUACAUAGCCGACCGGAGAGGGGGAGCGGCCACACUGGGACUGAGACACGGCCCAGACUCCUACGGGAGGCAGCAGUAGGGAAUCUUCGGCAAUGGACGAAAGUCUGACCGAGCAACGCCGCGUGAGUGAAGAAGGUUUUCGGAUCGUAAAGCUCUGUUGUAAGAGAAGAACGGGUGUGAGAGUGGAAAGUUCACACUGUGACGGUAUCUUACCAGAAAGGGACGGCUAACUACGUG